CACGUAGGGGACGAGCGUUGUCCGGAUUCAUUGGGCGUAAAGCGCGCGUAGGCGGCUCGGAAAGUCGGUCGUGAAAUGCCGGGGCUCAACCCCGGGACUGCGUCCGAUACUUCCGGGCUGGAGGUAGGUAGGGGAGAUCGGAAUUCCUGGUGUAGCGGUGAAAUGCGCAGAUAUCAGGAGGAACACCGGUGGCGAAGGCGGUUCUCUGGGCAUUACCUGACGCUGAGGAGCGAAAGUGUGGGGAGCGAACAGG
rnacentral:rRNA from 1 species